rnacentral:rRNA from 1 species
UACAGAGGUCUCAAGCGUUGUUCGGAUUCAUUGGGCGUAAAGGGUGCGUAGGUGGCGCGGUAAGUCGGGUGUGAAAUUUCGGAGCUUAACUCCGAAACUGCAUUCGAUACUGCCGUGCUUGAGGACUGGAGAGGAGACUGGAAUUCCUGGUGUAGCGGUGAAAUGCGCAGAUAUCAGGAGGAACACCGGUGGCGAAGGCGGGUCUCUGGGCCGAUACUGACGCUGAGGAGCGAAAGCGUGGGGAGCGAACAGG